UCCUGAAGAUUUUCCUCAGAGAAUUUUUCAUCUCUUUGUUCCUGAGACUAUAUAUUAGAGGAUUGCAGAGAGGUGUUAUCACAGAAUAGAAAAAGGUCACUUGAUAUUCUUGGCUUGAUGAAAAAAGAACAAGAUUCUAACGUGACAGAAUUUGUUCUUCUGGGCCUAUCAUCUUCUUGGGAGCUGCAGCUAUUUCUCUUCUUACUAUUUUUGUUUUUUUACAUUGCUAUCGUCCUGGGAAACCUCUUGAUAGUGGUAACAGUGCAAGCCCAUGCUCACCUGCUCCAACUUCCUAUGUAUUAUUUUUUAGGUCAUCUCUCUUUCAUUGACCUAAGCCUGAGCUGUGUUACUGUGCCAAAGAUGUUAGGGGAUUUCCUACAGCAGGGCAAGAGCAUCUCUUUUUCAGGAUGCCUGGCCCAGAUCUACUUCCUCCACUUUCUAGGAGCCAGUGAGAUGUUUCUGCUGACAGUCAUGGCCUAUGACAGUGGAUUUUUAUCUGAGAUCUACAACUUAUGAAGAAUAUAAGUGAUAUAUAUAUAAGUGAUUAUAUGUGUAAUAUAUAUAAGUGAUAUAUAUUCUUUUCUACUCUUCAUGUAUGGAAUAAAAGGGCUUGCACAGUAGUAAGAAAAAAAUGGCUUAGGCCCACAGGAACAAAGAAACAGGACAGGAGUUAGAUGCAGAGAAGAGAUUUCAACAAAAGUUUGGAAAAGAUGCUAACGGUAGCAUAUGAGUCACAGACAGAAUAUUGGCACCUUUUUUUUAAGAAACUGAAUGUUAAUGUCACAUCUGCCUUUGGAGAUUACAAAUGAAAUGGCUACCUUUCUACUGGAACUCUGACCAGAAGCCUGCCAAUUAGUAAGCUGGCUUAAGAGAUCAAUCUAAAAUUUACAUAAGGCUUUUGAAAAAAAGAAAAAACUAUAUUAUGAAAAGAGUAAAUUGAAGAAAUGGAAACUGCAAAUUACACCAAGCCCCUAAAAUGCUCAUAGACUUCUUUGUGGAGAGGAAGAUAAUUUCCUUUGGUGGAUGCAUUGCACAGCUCUUCUUCUACACUUUGUUGGGGCUUCGGAGAUGUUCUUGCUCACAGUGAUGGCCUUUGACCGCUAUGCUGCUAUCUGCCGACCCCUCCACUAUGCUACCAUCAUGAAUCCACGUCUCUGCUGUAUCCUGGUGGCUCUCUCCUGGAUGGGGGGCUUCAUUCAUUCUAUAAUACAGGAACGCAAAGGCACGGAUUGACGUUAUGAGUCCUGAUUUUUGAGUUGACUUCUCAUCACCUGGAAGUGAAUAAAACAGUAGACUUCUCUAA
rnacentral:lncRNA from 1 species